GACGAACGCUGGCGGCGUGCCUAACACAUGCAAGUCGAACGGAGCACCCCUGUCGGAGACUUCGGUUGAAGAGAGGGAAUGCUUAGUGGCAGACGGGUGAGUAACGCGUGAGUAACCUGCCCUUAAGAGGGGGAUAACACAUCGAAAGGUGUGCUAAUACCGCAUAAUAUUAUCGGGUCGCAUGAUCUGAUAAUCAAAGAUUUAUCGCUUAAGGAUGGACUCGCGUCUGAUUAGAUAGUUGGCGGGGUAACGGCCCACCAAGUCGACGAUCAGUAGCCGGACUGAGAGGUUGAACGGGCCACAUUGGGACUGAGACACGGCCCAGACUCCUACGGGAGGCAGCAGUGGGGGAUAUUGCACAAUGGGGGAAACCCUGAUGCAGCAACGCCGCGUGAAGGAAGAAGGUCUUCGGGAUCGUAAACUUUUG
rnacentral:rRNA from 1 species